rnacentral:tRNA from 1 species
GGAGAGGUGCCGGAGUGGUUGAACGGGGCGGUCUCGAAAACCGUUGAGCAUUUCGAUGUUCCCAGGGUUCGAAUCCCUGCCUCUCCGCCA